UUGAGAAAUGAAUAAAGUUUCAUAAAAUAUUUUUAAAAAAAAUUUAAGUAACAAAUGAUAAUGCAUAACAUAAUCUUGUAAAAUAACAAAUAAAACAAAAAUAAUUGUCAAGCCAUUAGAACCACUUUGCAUUCUGUCAAAAGUAUCACCACCUUCGUUCGAGCUUCCCUAGUAGACCGACUUUGCAAAAUCGGUCUCCACCAUUAAAAUGUAAGCCACCCAAAAAACUCUCAUUCAUCACGCCUUAUCCACCAAUUUCGCCCCAAAGUGGGAGAAAUAUCUGAAUGAAUCUGGUAUUACCCAUCGCCGGCACCAUAACUCGCAACGGCAGCGGCAGUCGGUGGCAGAGAUGAGAGGAUGUGUCGGGCGUUGGGUGGUGGGCGACAGAUCAAAGAGUUGCAGCGGGCGGGGAUGAUGAGGAAGGGGUAGUAGAUGUAGGAGUAGCAGCGAGCGACGGAUGGCAUUCACUGGGUCUAAGGGUUUUUGAAAUGGGUUUGGAGAGAUAAUAUUUGAGAUAAUGGGUUUUGGUGUAGGAGAUUGUGAAGAGGGUUGCUUCCUAAGAUUUUGAUUUUUCUGAGAAGAUGAUAUUUGUGUUUGAAUUAUGUUUGAGAAGAUGAAUUAAUUUUUGUUUUGUUUUUGAUAGAUUUUUGAUUGACAAAAUUAAUGACUUGGGGAUAUGGUUAAGGAAGAUCUGAGUUUUGGUUACUGUUAGCACAUCCCCACAAAAUGGUUUGGCAAGAAAGUGGUUAAUAUGAAAUUUAUAUAUUUUGGGAUAAGUUAGUCAAUUGAUCAAUAGAAUACUGAUAUGUAGACAUAAUUUUAUGUGUGUCAGUAUUCUAUUGAUUAAUUGACCAAUUUAUCAAAAAAAAUAAUUUCAUGCUAACCGGAUUUGUUUGGCAAUAUCAUGAAUACACAUAUAUGUACGGUAUAUGUUUAAAAUAUAAUUUUAAUUUUGUAUUCUGAAUAUUGGAAAAGACAAAUUUAUCCUCAAUAAAAUGAGUCCGGUUGGAUCUUGAGCGGGUUAUAAUGAAAUUGGAAAUAUGAACGGAAUUGACAUAAAAUAUAACUUUAAGAAUUCAAUCGAUAUAAAAUAAAAUUAAGAAACAACUUUAAAAGUAUGUGACAGA
rnacentral:lncRNA from 1 species